CAGCCGCCACGGUAAUACGGAGGGUGCAAGCGUUAAUCGGAAUUACUGGGCGUAAAGCGCACGCAGGCGGUCUGUCAAGUCAGAUGUGAAAUCCCCGGGCUUAACCUGGGAACUGCAUUUGAAACUGGCAGGCUAGAGUCUUGUAGAGGGGGGUAGAAUUCCAGGUGUAGCGGUGAAAUGCGUAGAGAUCUGGAGGAAUACCGGUGGCGAAGGCGGCCCCCUGGACAAAGACUGACGCUCAGGUGCGAAAGCGUGGGGAGCAAACAGGAUUAGAUACCCCUGUAGUCCCUGUCUCUUAUAA
rnacentral:rRNA from 1 species